rnacentral:piRNA from 1 species
UGGUCUGACCUGAGGAUAGUAAGUUCU